rnacentral:rRNA from 1 species
CAACCUACCUAUCAGAGGGGAAUAACCCGGCGAAAGUCGGACUAAUACCGCAUAAAACAGGGGCACCGCAUGGUGAUAUUUGUUAAAGAAAUUCGCUGAUAGAUGGGCAUGCGUUCCAUUAGGUAGUUGGUGAGGUAACGGCUCACCAAGCCUACGAUGGAUAGGGGAACUGAGAGGUUGGUCCCCCACACUGGUACUGAGACACGGACCAGACUCCUACGGGAGGCAGCAGUGAGGAAUAUUGGUCAAUGGGCGGGAGCCCGAACCAGCCAAGUCGCGUGAAGGAAGAAGGAUCUAUGGUUCGUAAACUUCUUUUGCAGGGGAAUAAAGUGCAGGACGUGUCCUGUUUUGUAUGUACCCUGAGAAUAAGGAUCGGCUAACUCCGUGCCAGCAGCCGCGGUAAUACGGAGGAUCCGAGCGUUAUCCGGAUUUAUUGGGUUUGAAGGGUGCGUAGGUGGUUUGAUAAGUCAGCGGUGAAAGUUUGCAGCUUAACUGUAAAAAUGCCGUUGAAACUGUCGGACUUGAGUGUAAAUGAGGUAGGCGGAAUGCGUGGUGUAGCGGUGAAAUGCAUAGAUAUCACGAAGAACUCCGAUU